rnacentral:rRNA from 1 species
GACGAACGCUGGCGGCGUGCCUAAUACAUGCAAGUCGAACGCAGUUGCGCACGUAUGAGUAACGCGUCGGUAACUGCCUGGUAGCGGGGGAUAACUAUUGGAACAGAUAGCUAAUACCGCAUACUACCAGAUGGACCUGCGUUGUAUUAGCUAGGUGGUGAGGUAACGGCUCACCAAGGCAACGAUACAUAGCCGACCUGAGAGGGUGAGCGGCCACACUGGGACUGAGACACGGCCCAGACUCCUACGGGAGGCAGCAGUAGGGAAUCUUCGGCAAUGGGGGGAAGCCGGACCGAGCAACGCCGCGUGAGUGAAGAAGGUUUUCGGAUCGUAAAGCUCUGUUGUUAGAGAAGCGGUAUCUAACCAGAAAGCCACGGCUAACUACGUGCCAGCAGCCGCGGUAAUAC